rnacentral:rRNA from 1 species
AAAUUGAAGAGUUUGAUCAUGGCUCAGAUUGAACGCUGGCGGCAGGCCUAACACAUGCAAGUCGAGCGGAAACGAGUUAUCUGAACCUUCGGGGAACGAUAACGGCGUCGAGCGGCGGACGGGUGAGUAAUGCCUAGGAAAUUGCCCUGAUGUGGGGGAUAACCAUUGGAAACGAUGGCUAAUACCGCAUGAUGCCUACGGGCCAAAGAGGGGGACCUUCGGGCCUCUCGCGUCAGGAUAUGCCUAGGUGGGAUUAGCUAGUUGGUGAGGUAAGGGCUCACCAAGGCGACGAUCCCUAGCUGGUCUGAGAGGAUGAUCAGCCACACUGGAACUGAGACACGGUCCAGACUCCUACGGGAGGCAGCAGUGGGGAAUAUUGCACAAUGGGCGCAAGCCUGAUGCAGCCAUGCCGCGUGUAUGAAGAAGGCCUUCGGGUUGUAAAGUACUUUCAGUCGUGAGGAAGGUGGUGUAGUUAAUAGCUGCAUUAUUUGACGUUAGCGACAGAAGAAGCACCGGCUAACUCCGUGCCAGCAGCCGCGGUAAUACGGAGGGUGCGAGCGUUAAUCGGAAUUACUGGGCGUAAAGCGCAUGCAGGUGGUUUGUUAAGUCAGAUGUGAAAGCCCGGGGCUCAACCUCGGAAUAGCAUUUGAAACUGGCAGACUAGAGUACUGUAGAGGGGGGUAGAAUUUCAGGUGUAGCGGUGAAAUGCGUAGAGAUCUGAAGGAAUACCGGUGGCGAAGGCGGCCCCCUGGACAGAUACUGACACUCAGAUGCGAAAGCGUGGGGAGCAAACAGGAUUAGAUACCCUGGUAGUCCACGCCGUAAACGAUGUCUACUUGGAGGUUGUGGCCUUGAGCCGUGGCUUUCGGAGCUAACGCGUUAAGUAGACCGCCUGGGGAGUACGGUCGCAAGAUUAAAACUCAAAUGAAUUGACGGGGGCCCGCACAAGCGGUGGAGCAUGUGGUUUAAUUCGAUGCAACGCGAAGAACCUUACCUACUCUUGACAUCCAGAGAACUUUCCAGAGAUGGAUUGGUGCCUUCGGGAACUCUGAGACAGGUGCUGCAUGGCUGUCGUCAGCUCGUGUUGUGAAAUGUUGGGUUAAGUCCCGCAACGAGCGCAACCCUUAUCCUUGUUUGCCAGCGAGUAAUGUCGGGAACUCCAGGGAGACUGCCGGUGAUAAACCGGAGGAAGGUGGGGACGACGUCAAGUCAUCAUGGCCCUUACGAGUAGGGCUACACACGUGCUACAAUGGCGCAUACAGAGGGCGGCCAACUUGCGAAAGUGAGCGAAUCCCAAAAAGUGCGUCGUAGUCCGGAUUGGAGUCUGCAACUCGACUCCAUGAAGUCGGAAUCGCUAGUAAUCGUGGAUCAGAAUGCCACGGUGAAUACGUUCCCGGGCCUUGUACACACCGCCCGUCACACCAUGGGAGUGGGCUGCAAAAGAAGUAGGUAGUUUAACCUUCGGGGGGACGCUUACCACUUUGUGGUUCAUGACUGGGGUGAAGUCGUAACAAGGUAGCGCUAGGGGAACCUGGCGCUGGAUCACCUCCUUA